rnacentral:lncRNA from 1 species
GUUACAAAUGCAUGGCCAGCUCUGUAAAGAGUUGUAUGAUUUAUGGUUGAUCUUUUAUUUUCUCAUAGAUUUAGACUCAGAGCACAGACAUUUUUUUUUUCUUGGUAUAGGGGAUUGAGCCCAGGAGUGCUUUACCACUGAGCCACAUCCCAAGCCCUUUUUGUUUUUUAUUUUGAGACAAGGUCUUGCUAAGUUGCUUAGGACCUCACUAAGUUGCCAAGGCUGGCUACUUGCAAUCCUCCUUCCUCGACCUCCUGAAUUUCUGGGAUUACCGGAGUGUGCCAGAGCACCUGGAUGGAAAAUAGCAUUUUUUAAUGAUUGUGUCUAGAGUUUUUGAUGAUUUUCAUUCCUUGGAUUAUAAAGAAUAAUAUGUUUACUGUGUAAAAUUGGGAAAAUAUGGAUAAACACAAAAAUAAUAUAUAACUCAUCUAGAGAUAGGCACCACUUAUAAAUAUAUCUUUUCAGUCUUUUAUUUCCUGUGGGUAUAUAUUUAUAAAAAUAAAAGUGGAGCCAUUUUCUUUUGUAUUCAUACUUUCAAUUUACUAAACCAUGAUUUGUUCUUAUAUCAGUGUAUGUGGCUCUAUGACAUCAUCUUUAGCAACUGCAUAAUAUUCCAUUAUGUGCAUGUAUGAUCAUUGAUUUAGCCAAUCCCUUACUGGUCAUUCUGGAACUCUCCUUAGGUACCUUCACAGCCUUUCCUUAGAGGGAAAAUGAUAACAGACAAAAGCACAGAGGAAGGCCUGAUAUAUGGAAUGAUGAGAAAAAAGAAACAGAUUAGGCAGAAUCUUCACCUAAGAAAUAAUAGCUUAAAAGAGAAAAUCAGCUGGGCUUGGCGGUAUAUACCUGUAAUCCCAGAGUCUCGGGAGGCUGAGGUAGGAGGAUUGCAAGUUCUUGGCCAGCCUCAGCAACUUAGUGGGAUCCUGUCUCAAAAAAUAAAAAGGGUUGGGAAUGUGACUCAGUGGUAAAGCACCUUUGGGGGUCAAUCCUUAGUACUUGGGGCGGGGGAAGAAAAGAAAAAGAAAAAGAAAGGAAAAAAGGAAAUCUAGAAGAAAGGAUUGGUUUUAGAGUUGAUGGUCUGAUUUCUGCCCCUGAGUCUAACACUAAUUUUAUGUUUUGGGCAAGUUGCUCAACAUCUCAGUUCUCUGAUUUAUCAGAUGUUUUCUCUUUCUUCUUAUAUCUCUGGGCUUCUCCGAAUACCGCCUUUGUCACACUAGCUGUGUAAUCCUGGACAAGUUGUUUAACCUCUCUGAAACUGGGUUUUUCUCAUCUAUAAAGUGGGACCACUAAUAGCUACUUCACAGGGUUAUUGUGAAUGGAUAUUUGUAAAACACUUGUCAUAAGGCCUGUCUCACACUAAGUAUCUAAUAAAUGCUAGCUAUUUUUAUUGCAUGUUGAGUGUUAUGUAAGAGGAUAAUUAUGUCAUCCCACAUUCUGUAUAUAGAAAGAACUCUGCCUUCUCAAAAGUGGUUUCAAAGUUCAAUUUGCAGCUGGGAGAGAUGCCAAGGGGCAUAGUUCAAAGUCACCGCUGGCCACUGACCUCCCUUUUCAGUUUAUUCUUCCCCAGGGCCUGGCCACUGGCCAGAUGUGGGUCAAGUAAACAGACUACUGUUAAACACAGAUAAGUCAGAUGCAUGAAAUCUUGAUUGACAGAAAAACCUGCUCUUCAAAUGCAAAAUGAGAUUCUGGAUGUCCAUGAGUGUCAAAGAAAGGGAAGUAAGAUUGUAUGAAUGAAUCAUCUGUGUUGGGGAUGCCAUUAAGAAAAAGCUGAUGUACUUUUCAAGUUGUGAUUAAUGAGCGUGGAGACAGGAGGAAGAAGUUGUGGGUGUAACAGAAAAUGUGUUGGUGUGCAUUCUUGGACAAAUUGCCCUAUUUGGUAAAAAUCAGGAGGCUGAAUUCUAUUUUUGUUCCCCAAAGUAUGGUUUGUGUACUACUGGUGGCACACAAAGUGAUUUAGGAGGUACAGAGAUGAACAUCUGAGAUAAUAAUGGUCACAUAUUAAUUUUAAGGAAUAUCAGGCAACUACGAGCAGCAGUCAAUGCCAUGGAUUCAUAGACAUGAUUAUUUAGGAGAAGGAGAAGGAGGGAUUUAAGUUCAUCUUUAGGAAAGUGAGCUGAUCUAAAAGAAAAAUUUGAAGAUGAUAUGCAGAAGUGGCAAAUAUCAUGCAGGUGGUUCAUGGAACUGGAAUAUCAGAAUCGGGUGGCAGAAUAACAGCCCUUAAAGGUGUCCAUAUCCUAGUCUCCAGGAUCUAUGCAUAGUUGUGUUAUCCUAUAUGGCCAAAGAGACCUUGCAGAUGUGAUUAAGUGGAGGAUUUUGAAAUGGAGAGAUUAUUCCAGAUCAUAUGGGUGGGCCCAAUGUUAUCAAGAGGUCCAAGGAAGAAGUCGGGAAGAUCUGAGUCAGAGAAGGCCAAGGGAUGAUGGCAGCAGCUCUUGCAGUGAUGCAGCCACCAGCCAAGCCAGUGGUCCUCUAGACACUGGCAGAAGCAAGGAACUGAUUCUCCCCCGGAACCUUCAGUUGGAACCAACCUUGAUUUUAACUCUGUAAACCUCAUCUUGGAUUUCUGAUCCCCCCAGAACUGUAAGAGAAAUAAUAUGUAUUGUUUUAAGCCACCAAGUUUAGGGUCAUUUGUUACAUCAGCCACAGGAAAUGAAUGCAGUGGACCUUAGAAGCUCUUAAUGGAAUACAUUCUGCAAGCUCAGCAAUUCUGUAGGAUAGAGAAAGGAGUACUGGCAUUGAAUAAGAGGAUCCCUGGCCACUUAGCCUCACUCACCAAAGAGUGGCCUGACUCCUGCCAUCAUGUUUGUCAGACUGGCCAAGGAGGGGCAGGUGCUCAGCCCCACCAGAAGGAUUCUUGGCUAGAUGACAGGAUGGGUCCUGAUUCACGAGUACUGUCAAUAAUUGUCGUCUGGUUCAACCUGCUCAUUUCACAGAUGAAGAAACUGAGGCCAGAGAUGGGAAGUAACUUGAACAGAAUCAUCAGUGAUGAGGCUGAUUUGCCAAGAAGAAUAGCAGCUGUGAUCUGAAGGUGGAGGUAGAGAAUAGCAAUGGGCAGAGGCCCUGUGUUCUCACACCAGGGCAGGGAACCCUAGAAGGGGUGGGGCCUGCACCUUUGUGGGUGGAGGGUGGAACUGCCAACCUUUGAUCACCUUCCCUAUGUGUCCGAGCCUCCAGCUUGGACACUGCUUUCUCUGAUAUCUUUUUAUCAGUGUUUUUAAUAACCAUCCUGUUA